rnacentral:rRNA from 1 species
AUGCAAGAUUUCAAUCUCUUCGACAAUAUCUUGACUGGAUCCGGCAAGUCCGCCAUGACCGGCGGCGAGAAGACUAGAGAGAACAGGGACAAGGCGCAAGGAGGAGCUGCGUCAAGAUCCCCGGCGCGCACGCCAUCGUGCGCGCCCUCACCUCCACCAGAGCGCGGACGAAGCCUGGUGCGCAGAGGCGGCAACGAGAUUGUUGUCCACGAGCACGUGAUCCGGGAGAGCCACGGCGGCGGCAACAUCAUCUACCCCACGCUCACGUCCACGAACUACAUCGAGUGGGCGUUGGUUAUGAAGAUGAACCUACGCACUGUGAGGCCGUCUCCGGCAUGGGUGAGCCGGGUGACCGCAAGGACAUGGCGGCGCUGCUUCGUGCGGUGCCACCAGAGAUGGUGCCAGUCCUAG